rnacentral:rRNA from 1 species
GACUUCGGUCUGGUGGCGAGUGGCGAACGGGUGAGUAAUGCAUUGGAACGUACCGAGUAGUGGGGGAUAACUAGUCGAAAGAUUAGCUAAUACCGCAUACGCAUUGAGAUGGAAAGCGGGGGAUCUUAGGACCUCGCGCUAUUUGAGCGGCCAAUGUCUGAUUAGCUAGUUGGUGGGGUAAAGGCCUACCAAGGCGACGAUCAGUAGCGGGUCUGAGAGGAUGAUCCGCCACACUGGGACUGAGACACGGCCCAGACUCCUACGGGAGGCAGCAGUGGGGAAUCUUGGACAAUGGGCGAAAGCCUGAUCCAGCCAUGCCGCGUGUCUGAAGAAGGCCUUCGGGUUGUAAAGGACUUUUGUCAGGGAAGAAAAGGUGAUUGCUAAUAUCAGUCGCUGAUGACGGUACCUGAAGAAUAAGCACCGGCUAACUACGUGCCAGCAGCCGCGGUAAUACGUAGGGUGCGAGCGUUAAUCGGAAUUACUGGGCGUAAAGCGAGCGCAGACGGUUUGUUAAGCAGGAUGUGAGAUCCCCGAGCUCAUCUUGGGAACGGCGUUCUGAACUGGCAAGCUAGAGUAUGUCAGAGGGGGGUAGAAUUCCACGUGUAGCAGUGAAAUGCGUAGAGAUGUGGAGG